GAUGAACGCUAGCGGCAGGCUUAAUACAUGCAAGACGAACGGUAAGUUUGGUAGCAAUACUUUACCUAGAGUGUCGUACGGGUGCGUAACACGUAUGCAACCUACCUUGUACAGGAGUAUAGCUCGGGGAAACCCGAAUUAACCCUCCAUAAUAUCAUUUGGUGGCAUCAUCGAAUGAUUAAAACUGAGGUGGUACAAGA
rnacentral:rRNA from 1 species